CGUAGGAUGCUUCGAUCAGGAUGAGACAAUUAAAUCAGGAAAAUCAUGUUGUGCCGGAGGAACAUGUCAAAAGAUUGGACGACGGGCCGGUGGAUCGGUCGACAUAUCGACAGAAGGCUUCGGGCCGUGGACUCGAGCAUCGGGCCAAGAAGAGCGGGUAUUGUGCCAAGGAUAUCGGAGUUGCGGAGUCAACUGGUCGAUUGGGCAAUAGGCUGCAGGAGAGGACGAUACGCCGAAGA
rnacentral:lncRNA from 1 species